AGUGAACGCUGGCGGUAGGCCUAACACAUGCAAGUCGAACGGCAGCACAGUAAGAGCUUGCUCUUACGGGUGGCGAGUGGCGGACGGGUGAGGAAUACAUCGGAAUCUACUUUUUCGUGGGGGAUAACGUAGGGAAACUUACGCUAAUACAGCAUACGACCUACGGGUGAAAGCAGGGGAGCUUCGGACCUUGCGCGAUUGAAUGAGCCGAGGUCGGAUUAGCUAGUUGGCGGGGUAAAGGCCCACCAAGGCGAAGAUCCGUAGCUGGUCUGAGAGGGUGAUCAGCCACACUGGAACUGAGACACGGUCCAGACUCCGACGGGAGGCAGCAGUGGGGAAUAUUGGACAAUGGGCGCAAGCCUGAUCCAGCCAUACCGCGGGGGUGAAGAAGGCCUGCGGGUGGUAAAGCCCUUUUGUUGGGAAAGAAAAGCAGCAGGUUAAUACCCCGCUGUUCGGACGGUACCCAAAGAAUAAGCACCGGCUAAUUCCGU
rnacentral:rRNA from 1 species